UACGUAGGCAGCGAGCGUUGUUCGGAGUUACUGGGCGUAAAGGGUGUGUAGGCGGUUCUUUAAGUUUGGUGUGAAAUCUCCCGGCUCAACCGGGAGGGUGCGCCGAAUACUGAGGGACUAGAGUACGGGAGAGGAAAGUGGAAUUCCUGGUGUAGCGGUGAAAUGCGUAGAUAUCAGGAGGAACACCGGUGGUGUAGACGGCUUUCUGGACCGUAACUGACGCUGAAACGCGAAAGCGUGGGGAGCAAACAGG
rnacentral:rRNA from 1 species